GGACUGGAUGAGGGCUGCCAGACUGAAGUUAAAAGGAGACAAGAUCAAGGCUCUCCUGGGAGGCAGUCCUGAGCCAUAGCAGAAGUUGCAGCUGCAAGCAAGCAAAGUGUAAACUGCCUCGAGCCACUGAAUAAAUAAAUUGUGUUGAAACCAAGGAGUGCUCCAGCAAGAUCACCUCAACAUCCUAUUUUGCCUACCAUAGCAGGCCAGUAAGAAAAAGUUAGCUGAUUUACUGGAAGAUGGCCUGACAAAAUGUUAUGCAUCACCCAGGGCAUACCCAACUGUAAUGGUAAAGAAGCCCUGCCCAAUAGAAAUUCAAUAAUAUGUGGUUACUCAGGAGGUGAAUGCAUUUUUGCAUAUCUGUUUCUUUUGCUAAAAGCUGUGGCAGCACCCAAUUUGGAUGGGGGCCAUGGCACUAGGGUGGGGUUAACCCUGGCCUUGAUUUAAAUUGUCUCCUAAAGCUGCUAAUUAGCCACAGAGGGAGAAACGUCCAUGAAUUGAGUUUGCCCCUCUAUAAUUAAUAGCCGCUCCAGCAGAGCAAUUUGAAUUGGGGCUGCAACAAUGCCUCCCCGAGGCAGUUUUAACAAAAGAAAGAGAUAUUGGGAGAUGCAUUUACAAAUUUCCUGCAUCACAUUUAGUUAGGCCCUAAAUAAACAAAGAGUCCAAUAGCUGUCUGGAUAUCAUCAAAUUCAAAUGGCAUCAGAGGACCAGAAAAAAAUCAUUUUUGUCACACCUUUUGAAUUCUGCAUAAAACCAAAGCAAGAUGGACUGUUCAGUUAUGCUUUCUGAGAUCCUUCCAUUAUAUUGCAAGUUGCAAUGCCCCAGAAGUGACUGUUGCUAUGCUCUUGAACAAAUGGAUGCCCAAAAUAUGUGACUGGCGGGUUUUUGAAGCAUGAGGGAGACCAAGAACUCAGCAAAAGAUCUAUAAUCUUAAAAAUAUCAUAUUUUUUGUACUUCCUAGAUAACAGAAUUCACAGUGUACCUAGACCAUGCACUGCAGUAGCUUCUUAAAAGCACAACCCAGAAGGUUGCCUAUGGAGAUGGAUUCACAAACUCUCUGAUUCACCAUUCCAUCAUUAACUUUAAAAGCAAACACAGUCAAGACAGGAUGACUGUAGGCUCCACCUACAGAAGUUAGUGAUCUAGUACAAACACAUGAAGACAACUUUUCAGAAAAGAAAGGAACAGAUAAGAUGAAAACUAACCUGUAUAUGCAAUUACAACACUUCCCCCAUCUGGAUAAAACUGUCUUGGAAAAAUUCAAAACAUGUUCAGGAGUGGACCUUAUCCAGUAAUUAAGAAACUGAGCAGCUUGUUCUGGCCAAUACAAAAAGCAGAGUCUCACCCCAGUUCUUAUCAGAAAGUGACACACAGUAGGGCUGAUAAGGGUGCAGAUGGGCUUGUUAGUUCAUUCAUAAUCCAGAAAUGAACCACUGUUUGUUCCUAGACUAUUUAACAGCUCUGCAAUCAAACACCUCUCUCAAGAUCUGUUACGAAUACAAUGAAUAUGUAUA